UACGGAGGGAGCAAGCGUUACUCGGAAUUAUUGGGCGUAAAGGGCGCGUAGGCGAUCUGACAAGUCUGGUGUGAAAGCCCACAUGUUAACUGUGGAAGUGCAUUAGAAACUGUUGGAUUUGAGUUCAGGAGAGGAAGGCAGAAUUCCCGGUGUAGCGGUGAAAUGCGUAGAGAUCGGGAGGAAUACCAGUGGCGAAGGCGGCCUUCUGGACUGACACUGACGCUGAGGCGCGAAAGCCAGGGUAGCAAACGGG
rnacentral:rRNA from 1 species